UUGUAAAUGAAGAAGUUAUUAAUUGUAAAGUAAUUUAAUAAAUACAAUAAGUAAUUGUGUUCACAUAUAUUCCAGCGGAGGUGAUGAGUCAGCGAGUGGACCUGGAGACAGUGGUCUUGAGAAAAGAUUCCCGAAAAGCCAACUCCCUGCUGCUCCAUUCAGUCUGAAUGCAGAGGAGAAAAAACUUGCCGACAAAAGACUGUCUUUACUCAGAUUUCCCCACGACUUUGGAGAAUUACCUGACACCCUCUUUAAGGAAAUAAGUGGUGGGACAAAGACGCACACGUGGCACCAGGUAUUCACCAAUGGACUCUUAAGAUACUGUCUGAGGGACAUGCUGGGAAAACAGCAGAGGGAUUCGUUAUGCAACUUCCUGUCAUUGUUGGAGGAACUAUUCAAGCCAACGACAGAUAUGGCAACAUUACACCACACUGAGAGGAAGUGGCACGGGGCCCUCUGUUACUUUGAGAGAGAUUUCCCUGCUUCUCUACAGCUUUGUGAUGCACCUACUGUACCAUUUGCCUCAAUAUAUACGCCUGUAUGGACCACCUUUCCAGUUCUGGAUGUUUCCGUAUGAGAGGUUCAAUAAGACCCUCUCUCAACACAUCACCAACAACAGAGAUCCAGAACUGAAUGCAGUGAAGAAGAUAGAGGUGCAGUGGCUGGUCAGCAUGCUCGACAGCGCUGGAUUUUUUGAGCCUCUACAAGUGAAUCCAGCUCCCAAAGUUUAAGCCUGUGUCUACUUAACCCCUGGACGAUUCAAACCAAAGGCGCAUCAGCUUGCUGACCUUGAAGUGGAGGCUCUCGGCCAACUGCUGAAAACAUCAUUGACCAGCAACAAUAUUACAAUUUACCACUAUGCAAAGAAGACAGUAGAUGGGAGGGAAAUACUAUACAGAGAUGCCGGUGUGGAAAAAAGAGGACCAACGAGAGAGAGCAGGGAUUGUGUCGUGCAACCUUGAAGAUGGACAGUUUGUGGGAAACAAAGUAUUUCUUUCACAACGCGUCAACCACAGAUGGCCAUGCACUGGCAUUCAUUGAUUGGAUUGGAAGACCAGAGGUAUGCUUGGACUCUGCAUGCUACAUGGUAAAACCCGCAUCAAGGACUCCAAUACCAAUGAUGUGGAUAUCCCAGUUAUCUGUGUCACUAAUACAUGCGUGGGAGAAUGAUGUACUUUGGUUGCCCUCCAUGUGAAGACCUUCAUUUGAAGAAACUCAGAAAGUGCAUUCUUGGACUAAUUGUGGCCAUAGGUGAACUUUUUCCUAAAAGGUUCUGUGAAUCAUUUUUAAUUGUUCUGGUUUUUAUACACUAAUGUAAAUAUAUUUUCCGUUUUAAUUUAUGCAAAAGCUUAUAACUAGGCCUUAUUUCCAUAGUGGCACUCAGUAAUGAGGUGACCGCGCUAAGGUUCUGUGAUUGAUUUUUAAUUGUACUUUUUAUGUUUUUUAUACACUUUAAAAUAUAAAUAUAUUUCCCGUUUUAAUUGAUGCAAAAGUUUACACUAGGCCUUAGUUCCAUAGUGGCACUCAGUAAUGAGGUGACAGAGCUAAGGUUCUGUGAUUAAUUUCUAAUUGUACUUUGAUGUUUUUAUACACUUUAAAAUGUAAAUAUAUUUUCCGUUUUAAUUUACGCAAAAGUUUAUACUAGGCCUUAGUUCAAUAGUGGCACUCAGUAAUGAGGUGACCGAGCUAAGGUUCUGUGCUUGAUUUUUAAUUGUUCUUUUAUUUUUUUAUACACUUAUGCCUAGUUAUGGUUUCAUGUUUUCAGUUUUAAUUUCUCCCUCGACCUAUCGACAUCCGAUAAAAUUGUUAGUUUUGCUUCUUCUGACGAUAUAAUUCCCUCAAUAAGUUUUCCACCCUCGCUUACCGUCAUUCGCCAUAUAAUAUACUAAAGCUCAAUUAUGACUUAUUUCUCUGGAUGUUAUCAACAAUUCGGUCAUCGUGGCUCUUUUAGUUCUAUCUUUUGAGACUGGAAAGACCUGUUUUAGUGUUUAUACUGACACUGGUAAACAGUUACACUGCGUUUGCUUACAGAUCGAUAGAUAUUUAAAGGUGGAUGCACGGUGUUUUGGAAAUAAAACAAUUAGUGAUUUCUACUCAUAUUGUUCGAGUUGUAUAUCUGUACACAAAUAAAUUAAGGAGUUUGAUUAUUUUCUUUUUGUUGUAUUUCAUCAAAUAUCACAUUUCCAUAAUUCCGCCACCCUUGUUAUACAGCUAGAAUCGCAAGCGACAAAAGAUAUAAUAAGGGUAAACCUUACAAAAUAGUGAUGAGUUAUUCUGACACUUGAUCUUCUAUAUUAAUGAAUUAUAAUUGACAAUAUAAUCAUUAUGUAAUAUACCAGAAUAUUAAUUCUCAGAGGUCGGGUCCGAUGUAAUGGUGGAGCUAUGGUCGGUUGGGGGGAGGGUAUUUGUAGUUACAGUCUGGGGGUAGAGUAAGAGUCUGGGGGGGGGGGGGGGGGGGGGGGGGGAUUGGUAGGGUUAGGGUAGGGGUGUAAUUAUGGUUAGGGUCGGGUGAAUUGGUACAGUUACGUUAGUAUGGUAGUUAGGGCUGUGUUGUAAUGGUAGUUAUGGCUGGGAUGUAAUGGUGGUUAGCGCCGGGAUGUAAUUAGUAGUUAUGGCUGGGAUGUAAUGGUGGUUAGGGCCGGGUUGUAAUAGUAGUUAGGGCCGGGUUGUAAUGGAGUUUUCACUUUUGUGUCGAAGGAUAAAUAUUUGAAUAUUGUAGGAUUCUCUGUGCGAGUGUAAAUGAAAAAAAAAUCCACAAAUUGUUGACAUUUCUUUUCAGUGUAAAUUUGACAUGCGUCGCAGUUUAUUUCGCCUGCGGCCAGGCCAUGAGACCAUGUCCAACUUUAACAUACUUGAAAAUGAUGAGUUACUAUGUGGCGUUUUUGCGAAAGUUAUCUAAUGUUUAUACUUGAAUUUAUUUAACAGUACUCCAGGGAAUUCUCUAUAAAUACAUGCUGUAGAUUGUUUCAUUUCUCUCUUCUUUCCUUUCGAUGCAUAAUUGGGCUUAAACAGUAAACAAUAUCAAAGCGGUUCAGACGAGUCGGUAUUGUUUUACAAAUUUAAUUAAUAGCCGUGAAUAGAUGUUAUAAAAACAUGUCACCCGCCGAUUCCCUUAGUGCAUGGCUUUGUUUAAACAGUUGCCAUUACCAAAGCGGUCCAGACGAGUCGGUAUUGGUUUACUUGAGUAAUUAAUAGCCGUGGAUAUCGAUAUUAUAAAAGCUAUAAAGUUAUAAUCAAAACACAUGUCACCAAAGAGAUAACUCAAUGUGUCAGGACCUGCUCAGUUUAAGUAUAUAAGAAAUCUGUAACGCAACAACAGCAUUCAUCAUGAAUACCUUUCAAGUAACUAUGCGCCGAUACAUUUCA